rnacentral:tRNA from 1 species
GAGGGUACAGCUCAGCGGUACACCACACGCUUAGCAUGCGUGAGGUCCUGGGUUCAAUCCCCAGUACCUCCA